rnacentral:pre_miRNA from 1 species
CUUGUACUCCCUCUGUCCGAAAAUACUUGUCAUUGAAAUGGAUGUAUCUAGAUGUAUUUUAGUUCUAGACACAUCCAUUUUGAUGACAAGUAAUUCCAGACGGAGGGAGUACUUU